GACAGAGAUGGCAAGCGUUGUUCGGAUUCAUUGGGUGUAAAGGGUGCGUAGGCGGCUCGUUAAGUCACAUGUGAAAUCCUAUAGCUCAACUAUAGAACUGCAUGUGAUACUGGCGGGCUAGAGUCUCCAAGAGGAAGAUGGAAUUCUCGGUGUAAGGGUGAAAUCUGCAGAUAUCGAGAGGAACACCAACGGCGAAGGCAAUCUUCUGGGGGAUGACUGACGCUGAGAGCACGAAAGCCAGGGGAGCAAACGGG
rnacentral:rRNA from 1 species